ACAUAAGCAAAUAAAAUUAUACUGUUCAUGAAGAUAAAAAUAUAAAAUUAUAGCUAGCUAAUCUUAGUAUUAAAGCAGCAAAAAAAGCCAAGCUAAGCUCUUAUCACAAAGAACUAAUGACAUGCAUUACAUUGGCAUGAGCUGACAUUGCAGGCCUGUAUUAGAUUGGAAAAUUUAGUUAGAGAAUUGUCCUGUCUUAUGUGGUUUGGCAGCUCAUACCAUAAUUGUGCAGAACUAUAACGAAAUGAUUUAACCCAUAUCUUGUUUUAACUCUCGGUAUAACAGCCGUAUCCUUAAAUCUAAAAUUAUAACGUUGAUUUUUUUAUAUAUAUUAAUUCAUGAAGAUAUCUGGGAAUUUGUUUUUGUACAAUUUGAAAUGUUUCUACUCCAAUGGUUCUAGGUCUGCGAAUUUUUAAAGAUGGAAGUUUAGAAGUCAAGAGUAAAUUUUCAUAGCUGCUUGUAUAGUCUUCAUACAUGAAGCGCAGAGCUCUUUCCUGUAUUUUUGUCAAUUGUUUGCGUAUUUUUUUCACUACAGAAAUACCACAUUACCGGACAAUAAU
rnacentral:lncRNA from 1 species